CGGGKGCUUGCRCCUGGUGGCGAGUGRCGAASGGGUGAGAAGAACAUCGGAACAUGUCMWGUAGUGGGGGAUAGCCCGGCUAAAGCCGGAUUAMUACCGMMUACGAWCUACGGAUGAAAGCGGGGGACCUUCKGGCCUCGCGCUAUAGGGUUGGYCGAUGGCUGAUUAGCUAGUUGGUGGGGUAAAGGCCUACCAAGGCGACGAUCAGUAGCUGGUCUGAGAGGACGACCAGCCACWCUGGGACUGAGACACGGCCCAGACUCCUACGGGAGGCAGCAGUGGGGAAUUUUGGACAAUGGGCGAAAGCCUGAUCCARCAAUGCCGCGUGUGUGAAGAAGGCCUUCGGGUUGUAAAGCACUUUUGUCCGGAAAGAAAUCCUUGGCUCUAAWACAGUCGGGGGAUGACGGWACCGGAAGAAUAAGCACCGRCUAACUACGUGCCARCAGCCGSGGUAAUACKUAGGGUGCGAGCGKUAAUCGGAAUUACUGGGCGUAAAGCGUGCGCAKGSRGWUUGCUAAGACCGAUGUGAAAUCCCCGGGCUCGACCUGGGAACUGCAUUGKUGACUGGCAGGMUAGAGUAUGGCAGASGGGGGUAGAAUUCCACGUGUAGCASUGAAAUGSGUAGAGAUGUGGAGGAAUACCGAUGGCGAAGGCAGCCCCCU
rnacentral:rRNA from 1 species